UUUGUGUGUGUUGAAUGGCUGGAAGUGUUGCAGGUAUUUUGGUAUAUCUAACAAAGUUGUGAUGAUUUCAGUGAUGUAUCUAUAAAGGCAGCUUGCUAUGGCUAUAUGCCUUAGCCUAAAAUUAACAACAUGGUUUACUCUGGUGCAUAAUAUAUGAUGCACACAAGCAAAAGUUGCAGCAUAAACAUAACGAAACAUGCUUCUCACAACUACCUGGCUGGCAUGUUGCUACCAAUUUGAAUACGUUUUUAGUAGGCAUGAUUUAGAAUUUUGGUUUAUCAUUAUGAUUUUCUAUAAAUUGGGGCCCCAACC